rnacentral:rRNA from 1 species
ACAGUUUUAUCAGGUAAAGCGAAUGAUUAGAGGAAUCGGGGACGCGUUGUCUUCGACCUAUUCUCAAACUUUAAAUGGGUAAGAUCCACAGUGGUUACUUGAUUGAACUUCUGGGAUAAAUGAAAACUUUAAGUGGGCCGUUUUUGGUAAGCAGAACUGGCGAUGAGGGAUGAACCUAACGUCGGGCUAAGGUGCUUAAUUGCACGCUCAUCAGAUACCACAAAGGGUGUUGGUUCAUUUUGACAGCAGGACGGUGGUCAUGGAAGUCGAAAUCCGCUAAGGACUGUGUAACAACUCACCUGCCGAAUGGACUAGCCCUGAAAAUGGAUGGCGCUAAAGCGUGCGACUUAUACUCAGCCAUCAGCGCGAGACGUAUGUGCUGAUGAGUAGGAGGGCGUGAUGCUCGUAUCGAAGCCUUGGGCGUGAGCCUGGGUGAAACGUGCAUUAGUGCAGAUCUUGGUGGUAGUAGCAAUUAUUCAAAUGAGAACUUUGAAGGCCGAAGUGGAGAAGGUUUCCAUGAGAACAGCAAUUGGUCAUGGGUGACUCGGUCCUAAGAUAUUGGUAAACACCUUGCAAUUGAGCUUUGGCUCGCGAUCGAAGAAGGGAAAAUGAGGUUAAUAUUCCUCAAGCUGGCUAUGGAUGUCACGGUAACGUUUGUGAGCUCGGUGACACCAGCGCGUGCCUCUGGAAGAGUUAUCUUUCUUUGCUAACAGUC